rnacentral:rRNA from 1 species
GGAAUACUAAGGCGAUCGAGAGAACUGUGGUUAAGGAACUCGGCAAAAUGCCCCCGUAACUUCGGGAGAAGGGGGACCAGUCCUGGUGACGACAUUUACUGUCUGAGCUGGGGUUGGUCGCAGAGACCAGAGAGAAGCGACUGUUUACUAAAAACACAGGUCCGUGCGAAGUCGUAAGACGAUGUAUACGGACUGACGCUCCCCGGUGCUGGAAGGUUAAGAGGACCGGUCAGCCACUUCGGUGGCGAAGCUGAGAAUUUAAGCCCCAGUAAACGGCGGUGGUAACUAUAACCAUCCUAAGGUAGCGAAAUUCCUUGUCGGGUAAGUUCCGACCUGCACGAAUGGCGUAACGACUUCUCUGCUGUCUCAACCACAGACUCGGCGAAAUUGCAGUACGAGUAAAGAUGCUCGUUACGCGCGGCAGGACGAAAAGACCCCGGGACCUUCACUAUAGCUUGGUAUUGGUGUUCGGUUCGGUUUGUGUAGGAUAGGUGGGAGACUGUGAAACUCGCACGCCAGUGUGGGUGGAGUCAUUGUUGAAAUACCACUCUGACCGUAUUGGACAUCUAACCUCGGACCAUGAUCUGGUUCAGGGACAGUGCCUGGUGGGUAGUUUAACUGGGGCGGUUGCCUCCUAAAAAGUAACGGAGGCGCCCAAAGGUUCCCUCAGCCUGGUUGGCAAUCAGGUGUUGAGUGUAAGUGCACAAGGGAGCUUGACUGUGAGACGUACAUGUCGAGCAGGGACGAAAGUCGGGACUAGUGAUCCGGCACCGGCAAGUGGAAGCGGUGUCGCUCAACGGAUAAAAGGUACCCCGGGGAUAACAGGCUGAUCUUCCCCAAGAGUCCAUAUCGACGGGAUGGUUUGGCACCUCGAUGACGGCUCGUCGCAUCCUGGGGCUGGAGUAGGUCCCAAGGGUUGGGCUGUUCGCCCAUUAAAGCGGCACGCGAGCUGGGUUUAGAACGUCGUGAGACAGUUCGGUCUCUAUCCGCCGCGCGCGUAAGAAACUUGAGGAAACCUGUCCCUAGUACGAGAGGACCGGGACGGACGAACCUCUGGUGUGCCAGUUGUUCCACCAGGAGCACCGCUGGUUAGCUACGUUCGGAAGGGAUAACCGCUGAAAGCAUCUAAGCGGGAAGCCUGUUCCAAGAUGAGGUUUCUCACCACCUAGCGUGGUUAGGGCCCCCCACAGACCAUGGGGUUGAUAGGCCAGAACUGUAAGCACAGCAAUGUGUUCAGGUGACUGGUACUAAUCGGCCGAGGACUUACACC